rnacentral:rRNA from 1 species
ACUCAAAUGAAUUGACGGGGACCCGCACAAGCGGUGGAGCGUGUUGUUUAAUUCGAUGAUAAGCGAAGAACCUUACCAGGGCUUGACAUCCCACUAAUCACCCCGAAAGGGGAGAGUGCCUUCGGGCAGGUGGUGACAGGUGCUGCAUGGCCGUCGUCAGCUCGUGUCGUGAGAUGUUUGGUUAAGUCCAUCAACGAGCGCAACCCUUAUGAAUAGUUGGAUUUUUCUAUUCAGACCGCCCUGGCAACAGGGAGGAAGGAGGGGAUGAUGUCAGGUCAGUAUUGCCCUUACGCCCUGGGCUACAAACACGCUACAAUGGCCGGUACAAAGGGCUGCCAACCCGCGAGGGGGAGCAAAUCCCAUCAAAGCCGGUCUCAGUUCGGAUUGCAGGCUGAAACUCGCCUGCAUGAAGCUGGAAUCGCUAGUAAACGUAGGUCAGCCUUACUACGUUGAAUACGUUCCCGGGUCUUGUACACACCGCCCGU